CCCCCCCCCCCCCCCCCCCCCCCCCCCCCCCCCCCCCCCCCCCCCCCCCCCCCCCCCCCCCCCCCCCCCCCCCCCCCCCCCCCCCCCCCCGGGGGGGGGGGGAGGUGGCACCGUCCCUGUCCCUGUCCCCAGGGCUCCCAGUGGCUCCCAGUAAGUCCCAGUUCCCAGGAGUGGCCCCGCAGCCCAAAGGGACAGGAGGGGACAGCAGGACACCGCCCCAAAGUCCCCGUGUCCCCUCCAGGGUCCUUGGCACAGCAGGGAGCAGCGGUGGCACCUCCUGGUGUCACCUCAGGUGUUACUGCCUGGUGGCACCUCUGAUGUCACCUCUGGUGUCACCUCCUGGUGUCACCUCAGGUGUUACUGCCUGGUGGCACCUCUGAUGUCACCUCAGGUGUUGCUGCCUGGUGGCAGCUCCUGGUGGCACCUCCAAGGUUCUUCAGUGUCACAUCCCAGGUGUCCCCAGUGUCCCCAGUGUCCCCGGUGUCCCCAGUGUCACAAGGUGAAGAUCUCGUCCUCGCUGUCCCCGGUGUCCCCAGUGUCCCCGGUGUCCCCAGUGUCCCCAGUGUCACAAGGUGGCGAUCUCCUCCUCGCUGUCCCCGGUGUCCCCAGUGUCACAAGGUGAAGAUCUCGUCCUCGCUGUCCCCAGUGUCCCCAGUGUCCCCAGUGUCACAAGGUGAAGAUCUCGCCCUCGCUGUCCCCAGUGUCCCCAGUGUCCCCAGUGUCCCCCCCCCCCCCCCCCCCCCCCCCCCCCCCCCCCCCCCCCCCCCCCCCCCCCCCCCCCCCCCCCCCCCCCCCCCCCCCCCCCCCCCCCCCCCCCCCCCC
rnacentral:lncRNA from 1 species